ensembl:lncRNA
GCAGAACUCUGAGGAAUAGCAACAUGGUUAAAAUAAGAGAGCCUAUGAAUAAGAAGGAAGCAGCUGUCAGGGACGUAGAAGCAGAACCAAGAGAAUAUAGUGGGAAAGAUCAUUAAAGAGGUUGGGGGCCCAUGCUGCUGGAGGCUUUAGUAAUAUAGACAUGGAAAAACUUCCAUUCACUUCUCAAUUCACUUCUUCUUCCAUUCACUCUCAAAGUCAUUGGUAGGCCCAUCAAAAAUAACUCCCCAAAACAUGGACCAGUAGAAAGGGGCAGAAGCCACGGGGCAUUAGUCUUAGGAACAAACGGGAGAUGGCCAAGUGGGGGAGAGAGUGAAGACAGUCUAGAAGGGGUUAUGGAAGAACACCACCCCACCCCCAAGGAGAGCAGCAGAGGAUCAGGAACCCAUGCGAGAAGACAUUUGUUAAGAAAUCAAAUCCAGAGGCAUGACUUGUAGUUCCAGAUGUCCCAGAAGACAGAAACUUGUGGAUUCCUUGAUCAUGACAGCAUUGAAAUUCUGAGGCACAUCUUUCUUCAUCAUGAGAGAUAGGAAUGGUUCCUAAAAGUGUCUCCGAAAUUUAAGUAAAAAGGAGGUCAUGACAUCAUUAAGAGCUCCCCGCUAUUACACUCCCGACCCAAAUAACCAAGAUGCCAACAAGCAAAUACGAGUCUCGGAAAAUCUUCCAUCAUCAACACACAAUUUCCUUCAGCUUCUCCUUGGUUUGUAUGACAAAGAAAAAUUGCAUCACUGCUGAUUCAUGUGGACCCUGGAUAGAAAGGAGAGAGAAGUGGCAGCAGGGGCAUUCAUAUUUUAUUAGAAGUUACUGUUAUCUGGUGAAAUGGGAGCGCCAUCACAGCACUCCAUCUAACUCCUUGGCCUCAGGAGGACACAGCAAGAAGGCAUCCAUCUGUAAGCCAGGAAGAGAGCUCUCAACAAAACCCAACCAUGCUGGCACCCUGAUCUCGGAUUUACACCCUCCAGAACUGUAGGAAAGUAAAUUUCCAUUCCUUGAGCUAGCCAAUUUAUGGUAUUUUGUUCUGACAGCUCAAGAAGACUAAUGCAGUACAUACCCAUAUAUGUGUGUAUAUAUGUAUUUAUUACCCUUACUUAUAUUGUUUCCCUUACUUCUGUUAUUCUGUAUCCAUAUUACCCUCCUACAUUUUCCUUCAUAGCAACAUCCCCACUAUAUACACUAUGAGCUCUACUUAGUGAUUUCCUUGUUGUCUCUUCUCCCCAAGUAGAAUGCAAACUGCAUGAGAGUCAGGUCAUUAUCUUGUUCAUUGCUGUAUCCUCAAUGGUUAGAAUAGCAAUGCCCGACACAAACCAGGCAUUCAGUCAACACUCGCCAAGUGAAUAAAUCACUAGAAAAUAAGCUCCUGUACUGAGCACAGUGCUUGGCACAUAGAACACCUUGAUUCAUGUUUGCUGAGCUGAAAUGAACUGAACUGAGCUUAACACGCAUCAGUUGAGAAGGUGGCAUGCAAGACAAUACAAAAAAGCCAGGGUGAGAAGCUUUAGUUCAAGCCAUCACGGCUUUGCAGUAAAUAUCAUUGGAAACAACACUAAAACUUUUAGACCUUGGAGCUGAUCUGACCAUGUAAGCACAGUAAUGGACCCUGCCUCACCAUAGCCCCAUCCAAAGGCAUAUGUAUAAGGAAAAAAGCCAGUUUAUACAUAGGGUGUCAGUUACAUGUCAAGCACAUAAAAUGAAAUGCUGCUAUAGAUCUCAUGGAUAGAAAAGAUUAAACACAAAUAACAAGACCAAUAUUUCUGGUCCAAAAUGGUGAACAAGCCAGGAUGUUUAAUUGCCCACCCCCCAAAUCCCCCUUAAAUCUCACACACACACACACACACACACACACACACGUGAAAGUUCUAUAUUAUGGCUGAAAACUAGCAAAGAGUGACUAUCAUAAACCUAAAAUAUAGAUAUUUUGGAAAAAUUAACUGCAAACAAGGAAAAGAGCUACAAUCAGCCAGAUAUUUAUCUCAUGUGCUAUAGGAAUCCAGAUAAGAAUAAAUGAUUAUCAGGAGCAAAUUUUAAGAAAAAAUAAAUGGAAUCCCACAACUGGAAGGACCUGCAACUAAGAUAUACAACUAUGUACCGGGAGGGGUUUGGAAAAUAAAGCAG